CUUUUGGGUGAAUGCUGCUUUCAAAGAAGGAGUGUUCUGUAGUCAGAGAUCCUUUGCUAGUUGGCUUUUAACUGAUGAAAUCUCAGUUCAGCUGAGAAGAAUACGAAGGAGCUGCUCCUUCAUAUAAGGCACAACGUUUGCACCCUCUUGCGCACCGAGAUCUCUGCCUCCUCCACCAUGCUGUUGUCCUGAAAAUACAAAUCAUAACUUGGAGAAACACUGAAAUUCAGGAGAGGUGCAUUCUCUG